rnacentral:rRNA from 1 species
GUUAAAAAGCUCGUAGUUGGAUUUCUGGUUUGAUGCCCUGGCCCGCUGCUAUUUUGGCAGUGUGUGCCGGUUGUGCGUCUGCCAUCCUUCUAGGGAACGUUCCUUCUCUUCACUGAGCCGGGUUCGUGAUCUAGAUCGUUUACUUUGAAAAAAUUAGAGUGUUUAAAGCAGGCUUUUGCUAUGAAUACAUUAGCAUGGAAUAAUAAUCUAGGACUUCGGUCAUAUUUUGUUGGUUUCUGUAACUGAAGUAAUGAUUGAUAGGGAUAGUUGGGGGUGCUAGUAUUGAGCGGCCAGAGGUGAAAUUCUUGGAUUCGCUCAAGACUAACUUAUGCGAAAGCAUUCACCAAGGAUGUCUUCUUUAAUCAAGAACGAAAGUUGGGGGAUCGAAGACGAUCAGAUACCGUCGUAGUCUCAACCAUAAACUAUGCCAACUGGGGAUGGGUGAGCGUUGCAUUUUCGACUUCAUCUGCACCUUAUGAGAAAUCAAAGUUUUUGGGUUCCGGGGGGAGUAUGGUCGCAAGGCUGAAACUUAAAGGAAUUGACGGAAGGGCACCACCAGGAGUGGAGCCUGC